rnacentral:rRNA from 1 species
UACAGAGGGGGCAAGCGUUAUUCGGAAUUAUUGGGCGUAAAGGGCGCGUAGGCGGCUUGGCAAGUGGAUGGUGAAAUCCCUCGUCUUAACCGAGGAACUGCCAUCCAGACUGCUUUGCUUGAGGCCGGGAGAGGUAAGUGGAAUUCCCAGUGUAGCGGUGAAAUGCGUAGAUAUUGGGAGGAACACCAGUGGCGAAGGCGGCUUACUGGACCGGUUCUGACGCUGAGGCGCGAAAGCGUGGGGAGCAAACGGG